rnacentral:rRNA from 1 species
UGGGGAAUAUUGCACAAUGGGGGAAACCCUGAUGCAGCGACGCCGCGUGGGCGAAGAAGGCUUUCGAGUCGUAAAGCUCUGUCCUAUGAGAAGAUAAUGACGGUAUCAUAGGAGGAAGCCCUGGCUAAAGACGUGCCAGCAGCCGCGGGAAUACGUAUGGGGCGAGCGUUGUCCGGAAUUAUUGGGCGUAAAGGGUACGUAGGCGGUUUUUUAAGUCAGGUGUCAAAGCGUGGGGCUUAACUCCAUUAAGCACUUGAAACUGAAAGACUUGAGUGAAGGGGAGGAAGGUGGGAUUCCUAGUGUCGCGGUGAAAUGCGUAGAUAUUAGGAGGAACACCGGUGGCGAAAGCGGCUUUCUGGACUGCAACUGACACUGAGGCACGAAAGCGUGGGUAGCAAACAGG